rnacentral:rRNA from 1 species
GUGAAUCAUCGAGUCUUUGAACGCACCUUGCGCCCUUUGGCUAUUCCGAAGGGCAUGCCUGUUUGAAUAUCAUGAACACCUCAACUCUCAUGGCUUGCCAUGAUGAGCUUGGACUUUGGGGGUCUUGGCUGGCCUACGGUCGGCUCCUCUCAAACGAAUCAGCUUGCCAGUGUUUGGUGGCGUCACAGGUGUGAUAACUAUCUACGCUUGUGGUUCUCCACCAGGUAACCUUCAGUGAUGGAGGUUCGCUGGAGCUCAUAAACGUCUCUCCUCUGCGAGGACAACUUCUUGAACGUUUGAUCUCAAAUCAGGUAGGACUACCCGCUGAACUUAAGCAUAUCAAUAAGCGGAGG